AUUGAACGCUGGCGGCAUGCCUUACACAUGCAAGUCGAACGGCAGCACGGGAGCAAUCCUGGUGGCGAGUGGCGAACGGGUGAGUAAUGUAUCGGAACGUGCCCAGUCGUGGGGGAUAACGCAGCGAAAGCUGUGCUAAUACCGCAUACGAUCUAUGGAUGAAAGCGGGGGAUCGCAAGACCUCGCGCGAUUGGAGUGGCCGAUAUCAGAUUAGCUAGUUGGUGGGGUAAAAGCUUACCAAGGCGACGAUCUGUAGCUGGUCUGAGAGGACGACCAGCCACACUGGAACUGAGACACGGUCCAGACUCCUACGGGAGGCAGCAGUGGGGAAUUUUGGACAAUGGGCGCAAGCCUGAUCCAGCAAUGCCGCGUGCAGGAAGAAGGCCUUCGGGUUGUAAACUGCUUUUGUACGGAGCGAAAAGGCUCUCUCUAAUACAGGGGGCUCAUGACGGUACCGUAAGAAUAAGCACCGGCUAACUACGUGCCAGCCGCCGCGGUAA
rnacentral:rRNA from 1 species